UAAUCCACAAUUUCUUGACUCAUUUUGAAAUAUUUAAUGAUUUUAUGAAAGUUGAAUUAUAAGUAUGCUUGUUGAAAGCCAUGUGGAAUGAUGAUUCAUUGUUGUGCUUAUGAUGACAGUGUUUCUAAUGGUAGCUACGUAUUUUGGUGUCUGAGUCAGUUGUUCGAUUUGGUACGUCAGAAAAUCGACUGAGCCAGUUAUUGCCUGAGUUUAGUGUGCAUGUAUUUUCUUUUAUUCUGUUAUUUGCAAAAUACAAUGUCAACUUUAUGCUAGCUUUUCCCAUAUGUCAUAUAUAUGCUAGAUUGCAAGCAAGAAUGACACUGUUUGUUAUGCUGCCAUAAUCUUCUGCAUUAAAGGAGUAAGUUAUGCACCAACAAGUGGCUGGAUUAGUAGCAUAAAGUUGAUCUCCACGUGAACUUUACCUGUAAGGUCAAGGGUUCAAAUCCUAGAGUUGUCAUUGUUGGGAGGGCUUUACCUGAAUACUACAAUUGACCCCAGCAUGAGAAACUGCGUACUUAAAGUAAUAAAAAAAAAGGAGUAAGUUAUGCUAAAUUAACACAGGGAAGUGAAUGCUAUUAGUGUUCUUUGUUUCCUUGUCACUUCAGGUCGUGUAAUUGGGCCAAACAGGCGGUCAAAUCCUCUUGCCUGUCAAUGCACCUCUAUCAUGAUUUAUGUGAUUACUGUCCUAAAAGUUUUUAGUAAAGAUGCCCUUUUUCUUGGUCUUCCAGGCGUCAAAUAACGAUUGCAAAGAG
rnacentral:misc_RNA from 1 species